rnacentral:rRNA from 1 species
UACAGAGGGUGCGAGCGUUAAUCGGAAUUACUGGGCGUAAAGCGUGCGUAGACGGUAGCGUAAGUCAGAUGUGAAAGCCCCGGGCUCAACCUGGGAAUUGCAUUUGAGACUGCUCUGCUCGGGUGCGGAAGAGGGAAGCGGAAUUUCCGGUGUAGCGGUGAAAUGCGUAGAUAUCAGAAGGAACACCAGUGGCGAAAGCGGCUUCCUGGUCCGACACCGACGUUCAGGCACGAAAGCGUGGGGAGCAAACAGG